rnacentral:misc_RNA from 1 species
GAUGAAGAACGCAGCGAAUUGCGAUACGUAAUGUGAAUUGCAGAAUUCAGUGAAUCAUCGAAUCUUUGAACGCAUCUUGCGCUCCUUGGUAUUCCAUGGAGCAUGCCUGUUUGAGUGUCACGUAAACCCUCACACUUGCGACUUUAAAAUCGCGAGGCGUGGAAUUGGACCGUGCCGUAAUCGGCUCGUCCUGAAAUAUAUUAGCUUGGGCUUCGUUAGAGUGCUCGGCACUGGUGUGAUAAUUAUCUGCGCCACCGCCUUAGGCCUCUUCUGUUGAGCGCUGCUUCGAAUCGUACUUUGCGGACAAUAUUACAUUAAGCUUUGACCUCAAAUCAGGUAGGACUACCCGCUGAACUUAAGCAUAUCAAUAAGCGGAGGA